rnacentral:rRNA from 1 species
CCUACGGGGGGCAGCAGUAGGGAAUCUUCCACAAUGGACGAAAGUCUGAUGGAGCAAUGCCGCGUGAGUGAAGAAGGGUUUCGGCUCGUAAAACUCUGUUGUUGAAGAAGAAUGGGUGUCAGAGUAACUGUUGACAUCGUGACGGUAUUCAACCAGAAAGCCACGGCUAACUACGUGCCAGCAGCCGCGGUAAUACGUAGGUGGCAAGCGUUGUCCGGAUUUAUUGGGCGUAAAGCGAGCGCAGGCGGUUUUUUAAGUCU